rnacentral:misc_RNA from 1 species
AUGAUGUCGACUGAAGGAUGCCAGAAUAAAGAAGUGCAAGAGUUUAUGUGCCGUAUAAAGGAACUGAACACCAGAAGAUUGUCCGGCCAGUCUGACUCCGAUGAUAUGAAAAACACAACGGACACUUUUCGUUGGCUUCGAAACAACUCGCCCUUUCUUGAUGAUAUUGAUAAAUGCCGAUUGUUGGAUUCUGGACUGAUUGAAAUCUGUUCAUGGUACUGCAACACUUAUUUUGCCAAUGAGUCCCUAAGCUGUAGUAUAUUGCUACAGUUUUUGGCCAACUUCUCUGUGGGCCAUGAGAGUGCUCAGCGGCAGAUAUUUGAUGGUUUCUGUAGCACGUUGAGACAUUUUAUUGUAUCUUCUCAGGAUUCCAAGCUAUUAAAUAAUUCAAUGAUGCUGCUGUAUAAUCUGUGUUUGUGUGAUGUAAACUUCAGAGAAAAGAUCUUAAAAGAUGCAAAUAUAGUUCAACAGAUUAUGACACAUUGGACUCUAAAAGAAUUGGAAUAUAGUAUAAUAUUUCUAGAUUCAAUCUUUUCAAAUUCAAAAGAUUUCUUAUUGGUCUUUACAAAUCUGCCUGACUGUUCUAAAGAUGAAUUAAUGAACAUUAUCUCCAUUUGGCUUGACAAUUAUAACAAAGAAGUAUCUUUAGAUGUCAUUGUUGUAAUAAGAAAUAAUUUUUUUAUCGAUUGUCCCAUAGAAAAAAUAACGAGACAUGUAGUGAAUGUUCUUGCUAAGGCUUCAAAUAUAGAAAAAUUCAAUUCUGAAGUAAAAAGUCACACUACUCUAUUAAAAAAAAUUAUGGAUUUGUUGGUAUUCAUACAUAAGUGUGCCAAGGAUAAUGAUGAUUCAAAUGACUUUAGUCGUGUGAAAGAUCUAUCAGCUUUAUUUAAUUCAGAUGUACAAACUCACAAUAGAUUUUGGUUCAAAUCAGAUCUAAUACGAUUGAUUGCAAAUAUGUGUUAUAACAACCAAGAACAUCAAAACCUAUUAUAACAUUUUCUUUACAGAUGCGUUCUGAUAAUAUUAUUCCCAUACUGUUGGAGUGUUGUGCAUUUGAUGCCAAAAAUCCCUUGAUGCGUGAAUGGAGCUUAUUUGCACUAAGAAAUAUUUUGGAAGGAAAUCUGGAUAAC